GAUGAACGCUGGCGGCGUGCCUAAUACAUGCAAGUCGAGCGAACAGACGAGGAGCUUGCUCCUCUGACGUUAGCGGCGGAAGGGUGAGUAACACGUGGAUAACCUUCCUAUAAGACUGGGAUAACCUCGGGAAACCGGUGCCAAUACCGGAUAAUAUAUUGAACCGCAUGGUUUAAUAGUGAAAGACGGUUUUGCUGUCACUUAUAGAUGGAUCCGCGCGGCAUUAGCUAGUUGGUAAGGUAAUGGCUUACAAAGGCAAGGUGGCGUAGACGACCUGAGAGAGGGAGCGGCGUCACUGGAACAGUGAGACGGUCCAGAGUCCUACGGGAGGCGCCGGAGGGGAAUCUACCGCACUGGGCGAGAGCCUGACGGGGCAACGCCGCGUGAGUGAUGAAGGUCUUCGGAUCGUAAGACUCUGUUAUGAGGGAAGAACAAAUGUGUAAGUAACUAUGCGCGUCUUGACGGUACCUGAUCAGAAAGCCACGGCUAACUACGUG
rnacentral:rRNA from 1 species